AGCGGAGGAAAAGAAACCAACAGGGAUUGCCUUAGUAACGGCGAGUGAAGCGGCAAAAGCUCAAUUUGAAAUCGCGUAAGCGAAUUGUAAUUGAAGUGGUUAGACUAUGAUGUUAAGUCUCUUGGAACAGAGCGCCAAAGAGGGUGAUAGCCCCGUAAUCUUUGUCUAAUGUGCUACUUCAGAGCGAGUCGAGUUGUUUGGGAAUGCAGCUCUAACAGGUGGUAAACUCCAUCUAAGGCUAAAUAUUGCUGGGAGACCGAUAGCGAACAAGUACAGUGAUGGAAAGAUGAAAAGCACUUUGAAAAGAGAGUGAAAUAGCAUGUGAAAUUGUUGGAGGGGAAGGCAAUGAUAGGAAUAAGAGGCUGCGGUUUGAAGUAAAUAUUCUUUGGGCCACGGUCUCCUGGGCCUAUUUUUGCACCCGU
rnacentral:rRNA from 1 species